CCUACGGGCGGCAGCAGUGGGGAAUUUUGGACAAUGGGGGCAACCCUGAUCCAGCCAUGCCGCGUGCGGGAAGAAGGCCUUCGGGUUGUAAACCGCUUUUGUCAGGGAAGAAAUCUUCCGAGCUAAUACCUUGGGAGGAUGACGGUACCUGAAGAAUAAGCACCGGCUAACUACGUGCCAGCAGCCGCGGUAAUACGUAGGGUGCAAGCGUUAAUCGGAGUUACUGGGCGCAGUGGUUGCGCAGAGGUGUGAACUCCCCGGGCUUAACCUGGGAAAUGCACGUGUGACUGUACGGCUGGAGUACGGCAGAGGGGGAUGGAAUUCCGCGUGUAGCAGUGAAAUGCGUAGAUAUGCGGAGGAACACCGAUGGCGAAGGCAGUCCCCUGGGCCUGUACUGACGCUCAUGCACGAAAGCGUGGGGAGCAAACAGGAUUAGAUACCCUGGUAGUC
rnacentral:rRNA from 1 species